AGUCUUAUACGGUCUUUGUAGAUACGACUCAACACUUAAUCAACUCAGUCAACUAUGAUAAACGGAGACGAGACGGGUCAGGUUCAUUCAACAAUAGAAAUGGAUGAUUCGAAGAGAUAUAAACAAAAACAUUUGAACUAAGAAAACGUUUAAUUAUUUAAUAGUUCGCAUAAGCAUUUGUUCGGAAUCGGUCGGUUGUUUAGUUUCAAGUGGUGUUUGUUUUGUUGCUUACUUUUUCUGUUAUCUUUAAUGCAUAUUUUUCUAUCUUUAAUUUACACCAUAAACAGUUUAAAACAAGCGUUUGAACUCAGAGAUUCUGGUGCAAAUUGUGCUAUUUUACAUUAUAAAGCAAGAGUUCCUUAUUGUGAGGUACAUCAUACAAACUACAUGGUAAGUUAUUUGAAUCAAAAAAGGACGCGACCAAGUUUGGUGCUCGAUGUUUAAGACGCGUUUGCUCUAUAUAGGAAGCACAAAGGUUUAAAUGAAGAGUGAGAAAGUUAUUGAUCGAAUCGACAUCAUUUCAUAACGCAAAGCAGAGUGAUCUGUAGCCUAGAGGUUUUUUCGACGAGCGAUGCAGUGUGCAGGAUUUUUAGACGAACGACGCAACCAGCAAAUUUUUUCUGCGAAAAACCACAAAAAACGUAGGUUUUUCAGCGAAAACUGCAACCAGCAACAGCGUCGCUGCAGGUUUUUUCGAUGAACAUUUUCGACGGACGAUGCAGCCUGCAGGUUUUUUUCAGCGAUCUGCAAGUUUUUUUGUCUGGUUUCGGCGAAAAACAACAGCAUGACAGCACAGGAAAGAUGGCAAAGAACCACUACGACUCUUGAAUUGAAUGGUGUUUUAGUUGAAUAUUAAGAGGUUGUAUACUCGCAUUAAACUUCAUAGUCUAAAAAGAUGGUCUUCUCUUACUUCUCCACCGGUGGAGGCACACCAUUCACAUUCAACCCGAGAAACACUGAUGGCAUUUUCGCUGAGUUUUUCGGGUUCUAGGGAAUGGGAGGUGGUGGAAAUGGUCCAGGUGUCAGAACAACGAGGUUUUCGAGCAAUAUGUUUGGCGGUAAUAUGGGUAGAUUUGAUAAUACCUUCAGAGCUAUUUUGGUGGUGGCGGUGGUGGAUCGUUCAGUAGCGGUGGUGGAGUUGGGUCAGGUACUUGGAAAACCGCCCUGAUAGAGACAUUGCAAACAUUAGUGGGUAAGUUGAUUAUCUUCCAUCAAACCAAUAGGGGGCGGUGUGGGGUCAACUUGGUCCUAAAUCGUUUCAAAAUUACGUGUAUAGUUUCAUCAGCGAAUUAUGUUGAUUAUUACGUGUAUAAUUUCAUCAGCGAAAUAUGUUGAUUAUGAUA